UUCAUUAUAAAACAUGUUCAACUACUCUUACAGAUUUCGAUCAAGUUCUUUGUAACUUCAAUUAUAAUUAAAAGAUGCCGAAGUUGUGGUGCACUCGCUGUUAUGAUAUUACGUCAUAUCUUUUAAAUUUUAUUCUUUAAAUUUGGUGAUGGGGAGCAACAUUGCUUCAGUAACAAAAUGUUUUGAUAAUGUAGAAAUUGUGAAAGCAAUGUACAUACAAUAACAUUUCAUAAUAGUGUAUAAUCACAAUCUGUGUUACAUCAAAGAAAAUUUGACAGAGGCUGAAAUUAUGCACUUGCUAUUAUGAUAAUACUUCAUAUAUUUUUUAUAAGAGUUUGAAUUAUCC
rnacentral:lncRNA from 1 species